AUGUUCUCUGUAGCUGUGCUGCUGCUGCUGCUGGCUGCUGGAUCCUGUGUAAAGUGUGAAACGCUGACUCAGCCAGCCUCUGUGACUGUGCAGCCAGGUCAACGUCUGACCAUCACCUGUCAGGUCUCUUAUUCUGUUAGUGGCUACAACACAGCUUGGAUCAGACAGCCUGCAGGAACAGGACUGGAGUGGAUUGGACUUCACUGUGCUGGAUGCACUGCAUAUUACAAAGAUUUACUGAAGAACAAGUUCAGUAUCAGCCUCGACUCUUCCAGCAAAACAGUGACUCUAAACGGACAGAAUGUGCAGCCUGAAGUAACUGCUGUGUAUCACUGUGCCAGAGAGCCACAGUGA